AUAUUAAAUGAGCAAUGAUCAAUGCAAAAUUAAACUUUUUAGCUAUUUUCAUGCUUAAUCUAGAUAUAAUUAAAAAAAAAACAAUAAAUAUACCCUUUAAAGUUUUUGUUUUUUAAAUAAAAUGUAAUUUUGUCUGUAAUAACUGUUUCACGCUAGAAAACUUGACAAAUACUCGAUUAACACUUGAAAGGCAUAAUAUUGAAUUUUAAACUCUGAAAGUGAACGCAGCGUAACUAAACAGUUUGGUUUUUGAAAUACAUCUAAGCAGAAAAGAAGCAUAAACCGCGCGUGCUGUACCCAAGUUCGUGACAAGAAUGAGGCUUCAGUGUCCAAAAGUGUGGAAACUAAAUUCAUGAAAAUCAACUCGCUAUUUAUUUCAACCAAUAGCCUGAGCAUUUGUAGGCGCUUGGACAUAUUUUUAUCAUCCACUCCCUUAAGGCCUAUUGUAAGCCAUGUGCCCAUGUCUAAUCCUAUCUCUGGCGUGACAGUCCUGCACUUAACAAUCACGCUACGGGUACUUCCUUAGGGCUAAGCUGGACUAUGAUUUUUGGAAAUUCAAUUUUUUUCUCGAGUCUCUUUUUCUUCCCGGAAACCACGUUCACCAACAAGAUUGGCACAUAUAAAACUCGUGAUCCUGCAUAUUAUUGUCAAAAAUUCAAAGAGAUUGACAGUUUGGCUAUAAUUUUAAUGUGGCGGCAUUGUGAAACCAUUUUUCGUCAAAAAUGUGGCCGAGAAUAAAAUAUACAUUGGAAACAUUGAAAUGAACCAUGAUGCAUCAAACCAUGCAGCUCAUUCCACAAUCAUAAUCUCUUGCUUAUUAAAAUCCCAAGGGUUUUGACAUAUGUUUACUUUAUUUUAGUAAAGGACAGCUAUUGUCAAAAGUCCAGAAACGAUAGUUCGCAACCAUCAAUAAUGGAAUUUAGGAAAAUGAAGCCAGAUAAUUCACCAAUUCAGUAACUUGAACGAGGUUGUGUUUGGAUAAUAAUUUUAGUGAUGCAAUAAAUUUUUACAAUUCCAUA